UACAGAGGAUGCAAGCGUUAUCCGGAAUGAUUGGGCGUAAAGCGUCUGUAGGUGGCUUGUUAAGUCCGCCGUCAAAUCCCAGGGCUCAACUCUGGACAGGCGGUGGAAACGUCCAAGCUGGAGUGCGGUAGGGGCAGAGGGAAUUUCCGGUGGAGCGGUGAAAUGCGUAGAGAUCGGAAAGAACACCAACGGCGAAAGCACUCUGCUGGGCCGACACUGACACUGAGAGACGAAAGCUAGGGGAGCGAAUGGG
rnacentral:rRNA from 1 species